rnacentral:tRNA from 5 species
GGCGAGGUAGCUCAGAUGGUUAGAGCAGUAGAAUCAUAAUCUACGGGUCGGGGGUUCAAUUCCCUCCUUCGCUACCA